rnacentral:rRNA from 1 species
ACCGGCGAACGGGUGAGUAACACGUGAGAACCUACCCCGGAGAUGGGAAUAACCACGGGAAACUGUGGCUAAUGCCCAAUAUUACCGCAUGGCGAAAAGUCCGCUGCUCCGGGAUGGUCUCGCGGCGUAUCAGCUUGUUGGUGAGGUAAUGGCUCACCAAGGCAACGACGCGUAGCUGGAGUGAGAGCUCGAACAGCCACACUGGGACUGAGACACGGCCCAGACUCCUACGGGAGGCAGCAGUGGGGAAUCUUGCGCAAUGGGCGAAAGCCUGACGCAGCGACGCCGCGUGUGGGAAGAAGGCCUUCGGGUUGUAAACCACUUUCAGGAGGGAAGAAGCGAAAGUGACGGUACCUCCAGAAGAAGGUCCGGCCAACUACGUGCCAGCAGCCGCGGUAAUACGUAGGGACCGAGCGUUGUCCGGAAUUAUUGGGCGUAAAGAGCUCGUAGGCGGUUCUUUAAGUCGGAUGUGAAAUCUCAGGGCUUAACCCUGAAACCGCACCCGAUACUGGAGAACUUGAGGCAGGUAGGGGAGAUCGGAAUUCCUGGUGUAGCGGUGAAAUGCGCAGAUAUCACGAGGAACACCGGUGGCGACGCGGAUCUCUGGGCCUGUUCUGACGCUGAGGAGCGAAAGCGUGGGGAGCAAACAGGAUAGAUACCUGUAGGUCACGUCGA